UGCCAGCCGCCGCGGUAAUACGGAGGUUGCGAGCGUUGUGCGGAUUAACUGGGCGUAAAGGGAGCGCAGGCGGUCUAGUAAGUCCAAAGUGAAAGCCCGGGGCUCAACCCCGGGUCUGCUUGGGAAACUACUCGACUUGAGUACGUGAGAGGAAUGCGGAAUUUCAGGUGUAGCGGUGAAAUGCGUAGAUAUCUGAAGGAACACCAGUGGCGAAAGCGGCAUUCUGGCGCGAUACUGACGCUGAGGCUCGAAAGCGUGGGGAGCGAACGGGAUUAGAUA
rnacentral:rRNA from 1 species